rnacentral:rRNA from 1 species
UCCUGGGGGUGAAGCAGCUCCCAAGGGUUUGGCUGUUCGCCAAUUAAAGCGCUACGUGAGCUGGGUUCAAACCGUCGUGAGACAGGUUGGUCCCUAUCUACCGCAGGCGUUGGAGUCUUGAGGGAAGUUGGUGAUAGUACGAGAGGACCUCACUGAACCAACCUCUGGUGUACCAGUUGUUCCGCCAGGAGCAUCGCUGGGUAGCUAAGUUGGGCAGGGAUAAGAGCUGAAAGCAUCUAAGCUCGAAGCCCAUCCCAAGAUUAGGACUCCUAGGCCGGUCGGAGACUACGACCUUGAUAGGGCGCAGGUGUAAGCUCAGCAAUGAGUUCAGCCGAGCGCUACUAAUAGGCCGAUCUGCUUCUCUUG